GCUACGGUGGACCUGAGGUGCAAAACACAACUGCAAAUCAGAAAACACAACACAAGAAGAGAAAACACAACGGCAAAUAAGAUAACAACACAAAAAGAGAAAACACAACAGCAAAUCAGAAAACACAAUGACAUUAACCGUUGUGUUUUCUUUUUUUGUGUUGGGUUUUUUCUGAUUUGCCAUUGUGUUUUGCACCUCAGGGCCACCGUAG